rnacentral:rRNA from 1 species
AGGGUUCGAUCCUGGCUCAGGACGAACGCUGGCGGUGCGCCUUAUGCAUGCAAGUCGAGCGAAGCCUUUCAGUAGUUUACUACAGAAAAUGACUGAGCGGCGAACGGGUGAGUAACGCGUGAGCAACCUACCUUAGUUACUGGGAUAGCCCGAGGAAACUCGGAUUAAUACCGGAUAUUCUUAUUUAAUCACAUGAUUUUUUAAGGAAAGGUCAGCCGAACUAAGAUGGGCUCGCGUUCUAUCAGCUAGUUGGUAGGGUAAUGGCCUACCAAGGCUACGACGGAUAGCUGGUCUGAGAGGACGAUCAGCCACACUGGGACUGAGACACGGCCCAGACUCCUACGGGAGGCUGCAGCAGGGAAUAUUGCGCAAUGAGCGAAAGCUUGACGCAGCGACACCGCGUGUGGGAUGACGGAUCUAGGUUUGUAAACCACUUUCAGGAGGGAAGAAAAUGACGGUACCUCCACAAGAAGCCCCGGCCAACUACGUGCCAGCAGCCGCGGUAAUAC